rnacentral:rRNA from 1 species
GACGAACGCUGGCGGCGUGCUUAACACAUGCAAGUCGAACGGAAAGGCCCUGCUUUUGUGGGGUGCUCGAGUGGCGAACGGGUGAGUAACAAGUGAGUAACCUGCCCUUGACUUUGGGAUAACUUCAGGAAACUGGGGCUAAUACCGGAUAGGAGCUCCUGCUGCAUGGUGGGGGUUGGAAAGUUUCGGCGGUUGGGGAUGGACUCGCGGCGUAUCAGCUUGUUGGUGGGGUAGUGGCUUACCAAGGCUUUGACGGGUAGCCGGCCUGAGAGGGUGACCGGCCACAUUGGGGCUGAGAUACGGCCCAGACUCCUACGGGAGGCAGCAGUGGGGAAUAUUGCACAAUGGGCGGAGGCCUGAUGCAGCAACGCCGCGUGCGGGAUGACGGCCUUCGGGUUGUAAACCGCUUUCGCCUGUGACGAAGCGUGAGUGACGGUAAUGGGUAAAGAAGCACCGGCUAACUACGUG